UACGAAGGGGGCGAGCGUUGUUCGGAAUUACUGGGCGUAAAGGGCGCGCAGGCGGCGAGUUUUGUCAGGCGUGAAAGCCCCGGGCUCAACCUGGGAACUGCGCUUGAAACGGGCUUGCUGGAGACCGGGAGAGGAGAGUGGAAUUCCCAGUGUAGAGGUGAAAUUCGUAGAUAUUGGGAGGAACACCAGUGGCGAAGGCGGCUCUCUGGCCUGUUACUGACGCUGAGGCGCGAAAGCGUGGGGAGCGAACGGG
rnacentral:rRNA from 1 species